rnacentral:sRNA from 1 species
AGUCAUGGCUCUAAAUAUGUACCUGCAAUCGGAUGUUGAGGAUCACCGAGCCCGCGACGUAGAAGUACGGGAAGUUCAUGCGCAGCUGCCAGGCCAGCUCGAAGAAGGCGAGCAGGGUGCGGGAGAGCCCCUUGCAGAAGACGCCGUACGAGGUUCUCCAGCAUUUGGCUCAAGGCCCCAAGGGCACAUGUGACAAGAAGGCGCCAGCUUUUUAAACAUUGGAAGUUCUUCUGUGUCAGUUCUGUGACAGAACAUUUACUUAACACAUCAUGAAGGCCAGUUUGGAUGUGGAGGGGAAUAGACUCCAUCUAUCCAUAUGAGAGUUGGAGUCUCACUCUGUUAUCCAGGCUGGAGUUCAGUGGUAGGAUCAUGGCUUACUGCAGUCUGGAACUCCUGGGCUCAAACCAUCCUCCCACCUCAGCCUUCUGCUGCAGAAGAAUAUUUUGCCUGCUGGAACCUGCUGUAUCUACUCAAGAGUGGAAGUUUUCACAGAAGAUGCAGCACACUGUCAAAACAUCCGGAGACGCCAGCACCAAAGCCCACAGAGGAGUUAAAAGUAUGAUGACUUUCUUCCUACUCUAUGCCAUUUUCUCUCUGUCUUUUUUCAUAUCAGUUUGGACCUCUGAAAGGUUGGAGGAAAAUCUAAUUAUUCUUUCCCAGGUGAUGGGAAUGGCUUAUCCUUCAUGUCACUCAUGUGUUCUGAUUCUUGGAAACAAGAAGCUGAGACAGGCCUCUCUGUCAGUGCUACUGUGGCUGAGGUACAUGUUCAAAGAUGGGGAGCCCUCAGGUCACAAAGAAUUUAGAGAAUCAUCUUGAAUAUAUUAGAAAAAAAAUAGCUCCUAAGAAAUUCUUGUAUGUUAUAUAAAUUUAUACUUCCUCAAGGUUCUUUCAUUGUGUAUAACUUUGUGAAUUUUACAAAGAUAUGCUUGGAAUCAACACCAUCCAAACAUAUCACAAAUUAGGAUAUAUGAAAUUAUGUAUAUUACCAUACAGAGAAGAAUGUGAAUACUAUAAAGAGUUCUUAUACAAACAGGUAAUAUAGAUUUUGUAUCAAUCAUUCACCUUUCUUGAGAUUUUUAAAUGAGAAACCUAUAAUGUAUAAGAUACAUGUGUGUACGUGUGUAUGUAUGUAUGUGACACAGUUACUAAAAAUAGGCUUCUUAAACUUACAUCUCAAUCUGGUAGAUAAAGUACAUAAAAGAAUAUGGAAUUUUAGUACCUAUAUUAAGUGUUUUUAAUUUUUGUAUAAUAUUUAGUACCUGAUUAGCAUGUAUGCAAAAAAGUAAUUUGCUUCGUUUGUUGAAUUAGAAGCCAGCUGCCUUACUAAACUACCACAUUUGCUUUGCUCAUUCUCUUGGCUUUGCAGAUAGAAAAUUAUAUCAUCUGCAUAUAGUGAUUUAUAAUGAUUAUUUUACUUCUCCAUUUUACUACUCGUAAUUCUUUUUUGGUAUCAGUUGUAUAAUGAAAUGGUUUGAACAUUCAAAGUGUUAAGUAAUCCUGAUCGUAACUGCUGUCUUUGCAAAUGGAGUGUUUUCUAGUGUUUUAACAAUAAACGUAAUACUGACUCUAGCUUUGAGAUAAAUUCUUUUAAAAAUAUUGUUCAGGGAGAAUAUUUGUUUCCUAUCUUCCUGUGUAUAGUAUUAUAAUAAAAUCUCUGUUAAAAACUAUC